ACAGCAGUCGCCACGGUAAUACGUAGGUCCCGAGCGUUGUCCGGAUUUAUUGGGCGUAAAGCGAGCGCAGGCGGUUAGAUAAGUCUGAAGUUAAAGGCUGUGGCUUAACCAUAGUACGCUUUGGAAACUGUUUAACUUGAGUGCAAGAGGGGAGAGUGGAAUUCCAUGUGUAGCGGUGAAAUGCGUAGAUAUAUGGAGGAACACCGGUGGCGAAAGCGGCUCUCUGGCUUGUAACUGACGCUGAGGCUCGAAAGCGUGGGGAGCAAACAGGAUUAGAGACCCCGGUAGUCCCUGUCUCUUAUACA
rnacentral:rRNA from 1 species